UCCCGCUUGUCACGGGCAGUUUCCUGAGAGUCCCCGACAUAACUCGCUGGUAACACAGGAUGAGGGUUGCGCUCGUUGCGGGACUUAACCCAACAUCUCACGACACGAGCUGACGACAGCCAUGCAGCACCUGUCACCUAUCCAGCCGAACUGAAAGACUUCAUUACAAAGUCCGCGAUAGGGAUGUCAAGUCCUGGUAAGGUUCUUCGCGUUGCCUCGAAUUAAACCACAUGCUCCACCGCUUGUGCGGGUCCCCGUCAAUUCCUUUGAGUUUUAAUCUUGCGACCGUACUCCCCAGGCGGGGUGCUUAACGCGUUAACUACGUCACCGAUCCAGAAGACCAGCGACUAGCACCCAUCGUUUACAGCGUGGACUAC
rnacentral:misc_RNA from 1 species